CCAUAGGUUCGAACCAUCGCCCCCACAGUAUUGCGGGGGAGGAAAGUCCGGACAGCAUAGGGCGACCCACCGGUGAAUAGCCGGCCCCCCACAGUACUGUGGGGGCGAGAAAGUGCCACAGAAAAUAACCGUCUUGUCUCGCUUCAGGCGAGAUGGGGUAAGGGUGAAAAUGUGAGGUAAGAGCUCACGUUCCGUUCUGGUAACAGGACGGAAGGGUAAACCUUGGGUGCUGUAAUGCCAUGUAUAGGAAUCUUUGAGAGCGGCUCGUUCGAUCUCGCCUUAGGCGAGAGGGUUCCAGGGUAGGCAGCAAGAUCACAACAGUAAUGUUGUGACAAGAUAAAUGAUGGUGUAGGAACAGAAUCCGGCUUACGAGACUUAUGGUUUA
rnacentral:RNase_P_RNA from 1 species